UGGGGAAUUUUGCGCAAUGGGCGAAAGCCUGACGCAGCAACGCCGCGUGUGUGACGAAGGCCCUAGGGUUGUAAAGCACUGUGGGAAGGGAAGAAAAAACGGGGGUUGUACCCCGUCUUGACGGUACCUUGUUAGAAAGCACCGGCUAACUCCGUGCCAGCAGCCGCGGUAAUACGGAGGGUGCAAGCGUUGUUCGGAAUUAUUGGGCGUAAAGGGCGUGUAGGUGGCUUGCCAAGUCUGGUGUGAAAGCCCACGGCUCAACCGUGGAACUGCAUUGGAAACUGGCAAGCUCGAGUGUUGGAGGGGGUCGCGGAAUUCCCGGUGUAGAGGUGAAAUUCGUAGAUAUCGGGAGGAACACCAGUGGCGAAGGCGGCGACCUGGCCAAUCACUGACACUGAGACGCGAAAGCGUGGGGAGCAAACAGG
rnacentral:rRNA from 1 species